AAGCUCCAAAAAACCAAAAUGAGAUUGUGACAUAUCACUGGACCGAGCACCUUGGUGAUGUGACUAUCCUCUCUUGCUUGAGUUUCACAUAUUAUUGUUACUGUGACAUACCUCUGUGACAAACAGCUAUGGGAAAGAUUGUGGCAUAUUACUGAACUAAGCAACCUAGUGACGUGUCUCUUCUGACUGGGGCUUGCCCACAGAGACAACUGUGACAUAGCACUGAGCCCAGGACCCAGGUGAUGUGACUCUGCUGCCUGUUUCCAACAUUCAUGAGAGGAUGGUAACUAUCCCUUGCCAAGAACUCAGGUGAUUUGACUGUCCUGCCUUGUUGCUGCCCUCAGAGAAGAUUGUGAUAUAUCUUCAGCCCCAAACCCAGACUUUCCUGCAGGAGUGAUGCUGACAUGUUCCUCUAUUUGGCAUCUGAGUGAUAUGACUCUUGCCAUGGUCUAGCCCACAGAUGGAAUUGUGAUGUGUUGCUGUACCCAGCACCUAGGUGAUGUAACUCCAUUUUUCUGCCUUGGCAUUGCUCACAAAAGGUAUUUUGACAUAUCUCUGGGGUAUGUACCCAGGUUUCAUGACUCUCUUGCCUGUGCCCUGUCCACAAAUUGUCAUGAAAUAUUGCUGGGUCCAACACCCAGGGAUGUAACUCUCAUGCCUAGGCCCUGCCAACAGGGGGAAUUGUGACAAAUCUGUGUCAAUAACCCAGGUUAUGUGACUCUCUUUUUUUGCCUGGUCCCUGCUCACAGAGGGCAUUAUGACAUAUUGCUGAACUCAGCACCUAACUGAUGUGAUUCUCCUUUCUAGUUUUUGCCCACAGGGGAGAUUGUGACAUAUCACUGGGCCUCAAACUAAGGUGAAGUUACACUUUCAUUUUCGAACUGUACUCAGAAGGCAUCGUGACAUAUUCCUGGGCCCAGCACCAAGGUGAUGUGAGUCUCCUGCCUGCACUUUGCCCACAAAUGGCAUUGUAACAUAUCUUUAGACCUAUCAACUACUUGAUAUGACUUAUUUUUUUAAAGUGAAAGCAAGUUUAUUAGAGAAGUAAAUAAACAAAAGAAUGGCUACUCCAUAGACAGAGAAGACCUCAGGGCUGCUCAUUGGCUCUUUUCAUGGUUAUUUCUUGAGUACAUACUAAACAAGGGAUGGAUUAUUUGUGAGUUUUCCAGGGAAAGGAUGGGCAAUUUCCAGAACUCAGGGUGCCUUCC
rnacentral:lncRNA from 1 species